UAUAUAUAUAUAUAUAAAAGUGACAACUAUGCGACAGAUCCAAUGACAGGAUCACCAGUGAAGGUGUUACACGACUGAAAAAAAAAAAUUCUAUAUUCAUAAUUAUAUACUUGUAUAUAUGGGAUUGACUGGUAGCAGGCUAGCCUCGAAUACAAAUUCAAUUAUUUUGUUGGACCCCUGAUCGAAUGACUUUAAGACUAUUUUUCGGCUUCUCCAC
rnacentral:lncRNA from 1 species